AUGGCAUGCACACACCUUGCAGAUGCACCUUACAUGUGGCAUGCCUCCUGGGGGGACAAGCUGGAAAUACUGUUCCAGGCCUGGGCCAGGGUCCAGCAGCCCUUAGCCCAGCAGUCCAUCCACUGGAUAGAGGCCAUUGAGGGGUAUGAUACCUCCUCCCAAAAGGAUGAAGUGGUAUCUGCAGACAGAGCUGAGGUUAUCCCCAGGGUGUGUGGAGAUCCACCCCCACUGGAAGGGCCAGAUACCAUCAUGCCUAUCCUCAAGGAAGAUGGAUCCUACCUGCUCUGUGGAUUUUGGGCUGAUGAGCCUGAAGCACCAGCCCAGGCCUGGUCUGAGACUGUGAAAUGUACAAUCCAGCAGCCCAUCUGCUGUGCUGAGGCCAAUGUGGUGGAAGACCUUUCCUACAAAAAGGAGGAAGGGGAGGUGGCAACUGCAGUCCAGGCUGAGCCUAUCCCCAGGGUGUGUGGAGAUCCACCCCCACUGGAAAGGCCAGAUGUCAUCCUGCCUAUCCUGAAGGAUGACAGAUCCUACAUGCUCUGUGGAUAUUGGGCUGUUGAGUCUGGAACACCAGUGCAGGUUUCUGCUGAGCCUUGGCACCUUACAGCCCAGCAGCCCAUCUGCUGUGCUGAGGCCAUUGUGGUGGAAGAUACCUCAAGCCAAAAGGAGGAAGGAGAGGUGGCAUCUCCAGACCUGGCCAAGGCAAACCCCAGGGUGUGUGGAGAUCCACCCCCACUGGAAGGGCCAGAUGUCAUCGUGCCUAUCCUCAAGGAUGAUGGGUCCUACAUGCUCUGUGGAUUUUGGGCAGAUGAUGAUGUUGAAGCUCCAAUCUGGGCCUGUGCUGGGGCCUGGCACCCUACAACCCAGCAGCCCAUCUGCUGUGCUGAGGCCAUUGUGGUGGAAAACCCCUACCACCAAAAGGAGGAAGUGGAGUUGGCAUCUACAGACCAGGCCGAGGCUAUCCCCAGGGUGUGUGGAGAUCCACCCCCACUGGAAGGGCCAGAUGUCAUUGUGCCUAUCCUCAAGGAAGAUGGAUCCUACCUGCUCUGUGGAUAUUGGGCUGAUGAGCCUGAAGCACCAGUCCAGGCCUGGGCUGGGGCCUGGCACUUUACAACCCAGCAGCCCAUCUGCAGUGCUGAGGACACUUUGGUGGAAGAGCCCUCAUUUCAAGAGGAGGAAGGUGUGGUGGCACCUGCAGACCAGGCCGAGGCUAAUCAGAGCCUCUGCUCUGCAUCACACCUCGGGGUGUGUGAAGAUCCACCCCCACUGGAAGGGCCAGAUGUCAUUGUGCCUAUUCUCAAGGAUGAUGGGUCCUACAUGCUCUGUACAAUUUGGAUGGAUGAUCCUGAAGCGCCAGUCCAGGCCUGGGCUGGAGCCUGGCACCCUACAACCCAGCAGCCCAUCUGCUGUGCUGAGGCCAUUGUGGUGAAAGAUGCCACCUACCAAAAAGAGAAAGUCAUGUUGGCAACUGCUGAUUGGGCUGAGGCUACCUCCAGGUAAAUCAACAGAUGUGUUCAGGGUGUUUUAGUAUGGACAUGGGGAGAUAUCAGACGUGAGGUGAGAGAAUGUGCCCUUUGUGUGAUUUAUAUCAUUCAGUUUUCCUCCCACAAUGACUGGAUGCACCUCUUGAAAGCUUCAUGUGCUGAGUUGCACUGUAACACUGUCCUGCUCACCGCCCAUUUACCCUCAAUGGGCCCCUGUAUAAAUUUCCCUGGAAACCUGUCACCUGUCUAGGUCACUCCUAAUGCCACUACUUCUGUGUGGCCUCUCUAAAAAGUGAGGGCCACUCCCUUGGUCCCUCUGCUUGUCCUUCAUCAGCAUCCCUGUGGUGCAAUGGUGAGACAGGGAGUGUGCGGUGC
ensembl:lncRNA